UCUUCGUAUCUUCAAAAUCCCUUUUCUUCAUAACCCUAUUUUCGAUUUCAAUUCUCAUCAGAAGUCCUUCAGGUGCAGAUUAAUCUUCAGAAGAGGUGCAGUAAUUUCUCAAAGAUCUUCAGAUAAUAUGGCUAGGGGACCUAGAAGUAGCAG